rnacentral:rRNA from 1 species
GAUGAACGCUAGCGAUAGGCUUAACACAUGCAAGUCGAGGGGCAGCAUGGUCUUAGCUUGCUAAGACUGAUGGCGACCGGCGCACGGGUGCGUAACGCGUAUGCAACUUGCCUCACAGAGGGGGAUAACCCGUCGAAAGACGGACUAAUACCGCGUACACUCUAUGUUGGGCAUCCAAUGUAGAGGAAAUGAAAUUCGCUGUGAGAUAGGCAUGCGUCCCAUUAGCUAGUUGGUGAGGUAACGGCUCACCAAGGCGACGAUGGGUAGGGGAACUGAGAGGUUGAACCCCCACACUGGUACUGAGACACGGACCAGACUCCUACGGGAGGCAGCAGUGAGGAAUAUUGGUCAAUGGGCGAGAGCCUGAACCAGCCAAGUCGCGUGAAGGAUGACUGUCUUAUGGAUUGUAAACUUCUUUUAUACGGGAAUAACAAGAGUCACGUGUGACUCCCUGCAUGUACCGUAUGAAUAAGCAUCGGCUAACUCCGUGCCAGCAGCCGCGGUAAUACGGAGGAUGCGAGCGUUAUCCGGAUUUAUUGGGUUUAAAGGGUGCGUAGGCGGCCUGUUAAGUCAGCGGUGAAAUCUAGGAGCUUAACUCCUAAAUUGCCAUUGAUACUGGCGGGCUUGAGUGUAGAUGAGGUAGGCGGAAUGCGUGGUGUAGCGGUGGAAUGCAUAGAUAUCACGAAGAACUCCGAUUGCGAAGGCAGCUUACCGUAACGUUACUGACGCUUAAGCACGAAGGUGCGGGUAUCGAACAGGAUUAGAUACCCUGGUAGUCCGCACAGUAAACGAUGGAUGCUCGCUGUUGGCCUUUAAUGGUCAGUGGCUUAGCGAAAGCGUUAAGCAUCCCACCUGGGGAGUACGCCGGCAACAGUGAAACUCAAAGGAAUUGACGGGGGCCCGCACAAGCGGAGGAACAUGUGGUUUAAUUCGAUGAUACGCGAGGAACCUUACCCGGGCUUGAACUGCAGCUGAACGAUUCAGAGAUGAUGAGGCCCUUCGGGGCAGCUGUGGAGGUGCUGCAUGGUUGUCGUCAGCUCGUGCCGUGAGGUGUCGGCUUAAGUGCCAUAACGAGCGCAACCCCUUUUCUUAGUUGCCAUCAGGUAAUGCUGGGCACUCUGGGAAUACUGCCACCGUAAGGUGUGAGGAAGGUGGGGAUGACGUCAAAUCAGCACGGCCCUUACGUCCGGGGCUACACACGUGUUACAAUGGCGCAUACAGAAUGUUGGUUUCAUGCAAAUGAGAUCUAAUCUUCAAAGUGCGUCUCAGUUCGGACUGGGGUCUGCAACCCGACCCCACGAAGCUGGAUUCGCUAGUAAUCGCGCAUCAGCCAUGGCGCGGUGAAUACGUUCCCGGGCCU